UGUUAAUUUGGUUUUGGUUUGACUAUUUGGGUUUUGGUUUUGGUUUCACUCAAUUUCCUAUUAUCUCUUUAUUUCUUUUUCUAUGUAUCUCUUAUUUUGGUUUGUUGCUGGAAUUUUGUUUAUCUAUUUGUGGAAUGAGAUGUUGCUGGAAUUUAUCUACUGUUUUGUGUAUCUAUUGAUUUCGAUGUGUUAUAGUUUAUGAUCAUGGGUUUAUGUUUAUUUGAAUGGUUUUAUGUUUUGAUUUCAAGGUGGUUUUGUUAUAGUUUAU
rnacentral:lncRNA from 1 species